AAUCAAGUUUUCUUGUAAAGUAUACAUAAUGGUAAGUUAAUAUUAAUCAUAUCAUCACCUUCCAUGGGAAGCCUAAGGUUGAUUGAUGUGCAGGAAAUCCAUCUAAUAUUUAAAAUUUUGUUACAGAGCAAUAACAACAACACCACCACCACCAACAACAACAACAACCAUGUGAAUAGUGUGCUUAGGCAAUUGAUUGGUCAACUCAAUACUCACCUGUCAACUUUGAAUCAACCCUCAACCCCAAAUCAGCCCUCAACCUAUGAUCAACCGACAACUCCCAAUCACCCUUUCUUCUCUAAUCACCAUUCCACCUCUAAUCACCCUUCCACUUCUAAUCACCCUUCCACUUCUAAUCACCCAUCCACUUCUAAUCACCCAUUCACUUCUAAUCAUCCUUCCACUUCUAAUCAUCCUUCCACUUCUAAUCACCCAUCCACUCCUAAUCAUCCAUCCACUUCUAAUCAUACUUCCACUUCUAAUCAUCCUUCUGCUUCUAACCAUCCUUCUACUUCUGAUCACCCUUCCACUUCUAAUCAUCUGUCUACUUCUAAUCACUCUUCUAUGUCAAGGCAGCCUUUAAUAUAUCAUCACCUUCCAUCAGGAAGGCAGCUUAGUUCAAACACAAUGCCUGCUGUUGCUGAACAUAGAAGAUUGUUUACAAGGCAGUCUGUAAGUGUUUUUUGUAUGUCUAAGACAUUGUAAAAUUUAUAUAAUAAAUUAUUUAUUUUGCAAAGUAACCAU